rnacentral:rRNA from 1 species
GACAGAGGGUGCAAACGUUGUUCGGAUUUACUGGGCGUAAAGCGCGUGUAGGCGGCUUUGCAAGUCGGAUGUGAAAGCCCACGGCUCAACCGUGGAAGUGCAUCCGAAACUGCAUAGCUGGAGUCCCGGAGAGGAAGGUGGAAUGCUUGGUGUAGAGGUGAAAUUCGUAGAUAUCAAGCAGAACACCUGCGGCGGAGGCGGCCUUCUGGACGGUGACUGACGCUGAGACGCGAAAGCGUGGGGAGCAAACAGG